rnacentral:rRNA from 1 species
GACGUAGGUGGCGAACGUUAUCCGGAAUUAUUGGGCGUAAAGGGUGCGUAGGCGGCAUGAUAAGUUAUUGGCGGCAAAUCGGGGCUCAACCUCGUGGAAACUGAUAAUACUGUCUUGCUUGAGUGCAGAAGAGGUUAACGGAACUCCAUGUGGAGCGGUAAAAUGUGUAGAUAUAUGGAAGAACAUCAAUAACGGCGAAGGCAGUUAACUAUUCUGUUACUGACGUUGAGGCACGAAAGCGUGGGGAGCAAAAAGG